rnacentral:rRNA from 1 species
AUUGAACGCUGGCGGCAGGCCUAACACAUGCAAGUCGAACGGAGUGGCGGACGGGUGAGUAAUGUCUGGGAAACUGCCUGAUGGCGGGGGAUAACUACUGGAAACGGGCGCUAAUACCGCAUACUAUCAGAUGAGCCUAGGUCGGAUUAGCUAGUUGGUGGGGUAAAGGCCUACCAAGGCGACGAUCCGUAACUGGUGUGAGAGGAUGAUCGGUCACACUGGGACUGAGACCCGGUCCAGACUCCUACGUGAGGCAGCAGUGGGGAAUAUUGGACAAUUGGCGAAAGCCUGAUCCAGCCAUGCCGCGUGUGUGAAGAAGGUCUUCGGAUUGUAAGGCACUUUCAGUUGGGAGGCGUUACCAACAGAAUAAGCACCGGCUAACUUCGUGCCAGCAGCCGCGGUAAUUC